AGACUGGCCCGGACGGGCUUCCUCGCCAACCCGGUCAGGUCCGGAAGGAAGCAGCCGCAACGAGAUUUUCGCCCGGGUCGCUUAACGUCGGUCUUCC
rnacentral:SRP_RNA from 1 species